rnacentral:rRNA from 1 species
CCUACGGGAGGCAGCAGUGAGGAAUAUUGGUCAAUGGGCGCGAGCCUGAACCAGCCAAGUAGCGUGAAGGAUGACUGCCCUACGGGUUGUAAACUUCUUUUAUCAAGGAAUAAAGUGCGGCACGUGUGCCUUUUUGUAUGUACUUUAUGAAUAAGGAUCGGCUAACUCCGUGCCAGCAGCCGCGGUAAUACGGAGGAUCCGAGCGUUAUCCGGAUUUCUUGGGUUUAAGGGGAGCGUAGACGGGUUGUUAAGUCAGUUGUGAAAGUUUGCGGCUCAACCGUAAAAUUGCAAUUGAUACUGGCAGUCUUGAGUACAGUUGAGGUAGGCGGAAUGCGUGGUGUAGCGGUGAAAUGCUUAGAUAUCACGAAGAACUCCGAUUGCGAAGGCAGCUUACUAAACUGAGACUGACAUUGAUGCUCGAAAGUGUGGGUAUCAAACAGGAUUAGAUACCCGAGUAGUC